CUUUUCGAGGUAGGAGUCGACUCCUGUGAGGUAUGGUGCUGGGUGCAGAUGCAGUGUGGCUCUGGAUAGCACCUUAUGGACAGUUGUGUCCCCAAGGAAGGAUGAGAAUAGCUACUGAAGUCCUAAAGAGCAAGCCUAACUCAAGCCAUUGGCACACAGGCAUUAGACAGAAAGCUGGAAGUUGAAAUGGUGGAGUCCAACUUGCCUGGACCAGCUUAAUGGUUCUGCUCCUGGUAACGUUUUUAUCCAUGGAUGACUUGCUUGGGUAUGGAGAGUCGGCUUGACUACACUGUGUGGAGCAAGUUUUAAAGAAGCAAAGGCAGACCUGUUAUCCUAAACUAGGGUUUUUAAUGACCACAACAAGCAAGCAUGCAGCUUACUGCUUGAAAGGGUCUUGCCUCACCCAAGCUAGAGUGCAGUGGCCUUUGAAGCUUACUACAGCCUCAAACUUCUGGGCUCAAGUGAUCCUCAGCCUCCCAGUGGUCUUUGUAGACUGCCUGAUGGAGUCUCAUGGCACAAGAAGAUUAAAACAGUGUCUCCAAUUUUAAUAAAUUUUUGCAAUCCA
rnacentral:lncRNA from 1 species